AUGAAGAAGAUUAAGAUCGACCGGAACGAUGAUGCAUUGUACCAGCAGUAUGUGUUGAGUAGGUACAAGAUAACAAGAGCAAAGAAAGACCAACCAAUUCCUGAUUUCAUUGAAAUAGAGGGGUUUCACACAUCCCUCCAGAACUUCCAUGUCUCCUUAAAGCCACGAGCUGAGAUUGACUGCGAUGUAAUGACACUCUAUCUAAAAACCUUCAACUUGGAGCAGAUCUACAACAAGAAAAAGCCAAAGAAGUUUGCAUUCUCAGUGUUUAUGGGGACUCAAUUAGUGAUGGAUCCUGAUCUGUUUGAUCCCAAGAAGUGUGAAAGAGAGUUCAGAAGGGCUUGUGAAAAUAACCAGAUUUCAAAAAGCGAUCUAAAUAAGCAUUGGGCUGUAGUUGUUGUCAACUUGUUGCAUAAGCAAUUCAAUGUUUUUGACUCUAUCACGAACCAGAUGGAUAUUACAUUGCUGCAUAAGGCAACCAACAAUGUGAUCACAAACAUAAAGAAAGUUGCAAGCAGUGAAUAUUCAUUCAAAUUUGAUCUUAGUUGCUUCGAGAAGAUCACCCCAGUUUACCCAAAGCAAUCAACAAAUUAUAAUUGUGGCUUCUAUGCAAUUCUAUUCUUGGAAAACUUCGAUGGUAUUGUCAGAAGCAUUUUGAUGAGAGUUGUAUCCCCAAUCUCCGGAAACGUAUCGGAGCAGAUCUGUUGA
rnacentral:rRNA from 1 species